GCGCCGGGCGGGGCGGGCGGCUCGCUGCAAGGCGCGCUUUUCCGGAGGAGGAGGAGGAGACGGCGGGGCGGGUGGUGCCUGGGCUCUGCUCCUGCCUGGAAGGCUGCCCGGGGCCCUAAGAGGAUGCAACACACAAGGGACAAACAGGAGGACAUGGACAUGAUCCUAACCUUCUCCUUCGGGUUAACAGUUGGAAAAUGCAGAUGGCUGCCAGAGUUGAAAUUCAAGGAUAAGGCACUGGAUUAGUUAACAGCAAAGAGUUUUGCCACUGACUUCAACAGAUUUUCAUCUCAGCUCUACAGCUUCUGCCAGCCCAAAGCAGAACAUUCUUCCUGUCCAGAUCAGCAGGAUGCUGCCAUCUUUCGAUCACCCAGGAAAUGUUGGCUGCCUUCCCUCUUCUCCACCCCUCUCCCCUUCCAAAGACUUAGGCUCAAAUGGUCUCAAGUGUACCCUGUUGAUAGUAGAAGGGAGGAUCUGCAAACUGUCUCAAUCCUAUAUUUGCACUGGCCUCUAUUGACUUUCUUACCAUUGUAGCUUAGAGGAAGGGAGUUAAACAUACAGCGUGGAGGCUGAAUAUGGCCUGGGGAGCUAUUCUAUGUGGCAGGCCACAGGAAGUUGUAGAGGUGUGUCAUUCCACAGAAUCUGGGGCCCUUAUGCCCCAGUGGGCAUGGUGUUCAGCAGCAGGAGGAUGAGAGCUGAUAUAGCCCCAGCCCCCCUCCAGCUGCUCUAUUGACCUGAUGUGACCCUACCUCCUCAGCCACUACCUCCCACUGCGUGCCCCAUGGUAGAAUAGGAGCUGAAGCUGCCACUGCAGCACAGAGCACUUGGUGGCAGCAGUUCUGGCUCUGGCAGGGGUCAUGUGCUGGGGGCUACAGCUACUGCCAUGUGCCCUGGGUUGGAGCCAAAGCUGAUGUUGCCUCCACCACUACCACCUGCUCCAGGUCAGAGCUAGAGCUGCCACUGCUGCUUCUUUGUGCCCCAGGCUCAAUCCAGCCAGCAAGGAGCCUCAUGGUCCAGAUCCAGCCUGGGGCACAAGGUAGACACCCUUUAGGGCAUUUUCAGGACUGGUAUGCAAGCUAGAGGUUGCUCUAGUGCAGUAGCCUCAUCAUCACACUCAAGCUCUCUCCACUAGGGAAUAUAACAGGGGUCAUGUUCGCUUUAUGCCAGCUAGCUGCUGGCUCUGGAGCCCUUUUCCACCAAGGGCUAUGAGAACAGAGACAAAACUGAAUCAAGACACAUGGAAGGACUAAAUCAAAUGUUGGAUCUAUGUGUGAAGAAAGCUGAGAUCUGGACUCUAUGGCUCAGGUACACCUCUAAUAUUGCAGGCCUGGCAACGUAACACAAACAGGCUGAAAUUAUGCCUUUUACGAACAUACAACACAGCGUAACUUUUGAUUCAAAUUUUUAAUAAAUUGUGCCAGUAGAAGCUUUCAAGGGCAAUGAUAUAACAAUAAAUAACAGUUAAAUUGAGUUCCUGAGAAAGAACCUACCACACGAAAGAAUGUCGGAUAGAUGUAAAUAACAAAAAUGGCAUUGCUAUAUAAAAAAGCAGUAAUACUGAAUCUUACAUGAACUGUCACAACACAAGCACUGCAUACCUCAGACCACUCCUUUCAUACCAAUGUAAACAAAUACACAAUCAUUUUUGUUUAGGUUAGGUUGAUGAAUUUAUAGAUGAUGUUGCUUAGAUAGCUAAACAAUGGAUAGGAUAUGAUAUGCUAAAAAACAUUAAGGAAUAAUAUGUGGAAUAAUAUAUGGAAAAAUUAUGAAGAUCCAGAUUUUAAAAAAAGUAAAGCAAAAA